UGUUGGAACUAUUGGAAACUACUUUUAUUCCACUGGGAUUCUGCACUGGUAACCACGUCCCCACCUUUUGGAGAACACCUGUCCAGCAGGUGCACACGGAGGCAUGUGUAUGAUGACAUUGUCUGAGACCUUUCAUCAGCUUGCCUGAGUUCAAAUGCAUCCUGGGGUAUAACCUACGGAUUUCUUUCUUGACUUAAGCUGAUCCGAGUUGAAUUUCUGACACUUGAGACUGAAAGUGUCCUGACCCUUAUGUGUAGGAUCCAGGAGUGAGAAAUCAUUCAACAGAACUCUUGUGAGCAUGCUCUAUGUAGCUCUUCACUCAUUUCAAGCCCAGGCUACUUAUGAUGCAUGCCUGGCCCUUACACACUCUCAGGGUAGCUGUUUAUGAAGCAUAUUGGGGAAGAAUUGACUUUCUGAGUGUCUAAGGUUUGAGUUUCUUUGAUCAACUAGUGCUGGAGGAGCCAAAUAGUUAAGAUUGGGGAAACGGAAAGGAGGAGGAAGACCAUGAAGUAGGGCACCGGCUGAUCCUAGGAGCCGUCUGGGAACUGCAACUGCCGUGUGCCUAAAUGCAGGAAGGGCUGUCGCCUGAGGAUGUGCCUUCCUUCUGGAUGCCUGCCAUGUUUCCUGCUCACUGAUCCAAGCCUGCUGAAAUAUCAGUUUACCCAGAGAGUCAACGUACUUUUUUCACAGUGAGACCAAUUCAGAAUGCAAGUCUCCCCAUUUAUAGGAUGCAUGAUGUGCAUCUUCUUCCAGCCCGGAGUGAAGAGCAUGAUGACAAAUGAGAAACAAUCAUUUCACACAUCCUGGUAAAAUAAAUAUUCUUUGUCAGAACAGCAGGUGAUUAGAUCUUCAUUUUGAUAUAUGCUGCAGUGUCUUGAGAAAUGAACUAGUAAGACCCAAUUUCAAAGAGAAUGCAAAUUUCCAGCCCAGGAAUAUGUUGAGGAGAUUAGAAGCUUGUGUAAAGGAGCGUAGAGGUGAACCCACUCAGGGCGCAUGGUCUUACAUCAGUGAAUCCCAUUAAUGCAGAUUCAAGCCUGGGCACAUAGACUAAGGGUGCCUGAUGGAAUACUCAUUUCUACCUCUUGUGGUACCAUUAUUAGCUGUGACGUUUGCUGAAGCAUUAAUAUGCUCAAGCCAUCUCCCAGAUGGAGUCAUGGCUUGAUUCCUAAAAAUGAUUAAUCUUGGGGAAAAACACUUGAUUCAAAAACGAAUUUGAGUAAACUUGCUAGUUUACAGAGUAACUUAUGUAAGGGGGACAUCAGUUAUCAUCUGAGGUGAGUAAGAACGAACGUAAAGGGCUUCGCCUGGAAAGCUUUCCCCUGCCUUUCUCAGCAGAGCGUUCCUUUCUGGGGGGAGAGGCAGAACAGUGUCCAGCUCUCCAGAGCGUAGCACCUGGAGCCAGGUGUCUUCGGCUUUGAUGCCACCUUUGUCACUUGUCAGCAGCAUGGCUUUGGGCAAAGUACUUCACCACUCUGUACC
rnacentral:lncRNA from 1 species